AUCUGCCCAGUGAAAAAUUUUUAACGGCCGCAGUACCCUGACUGUGCAAAGGUAGCAUAAUCACUUGACUUUUAAAUGGAGCCUAGAAUGAAAGAAAGAACGUAGACAGAUUGUCUCAUUAAACAUUAUAUUUAAAUUAAUUGAUGAGUGAAAAUACUCAUAAAACUAAAAAUAGACGAGAAGACCCUUAGAAUUUUUAAAAUGUUACAAGUAAGCUCUUGUAGGAUUUUUUGUUGGGGCAACAAUAUUUCAUAGAAUAAAUAUACUAUUAAAAAUGUGUCGAUUAUAUAAUUAAAUUAAAAUUACCUAAGGGAUAACAGCAUAAUUUUAAUA
rnacentral:rRNA from 1 species